UAGAUCAAUGAUGACUACUGGUGGCGUAUGAGUCAUAUACGAUGAAUAUGUGUCUGGAACUCUGAGGUCCAA
rnacentral:snoRNA from 1 species